AGAACGUCAGUGGACAUAAGCUUAUGUUGCCUUCAGCACGGUUUUUACAAACUACUGCAAAGACAACAACCAGAGAUAUAUACCAUGUGUAAAGUUUGAUCUUAUGGCGAGUAUGAUGGGCUCGAAUGAUCAGAUGUGAUGUGAUCUGAGUUCGAGUAUGCCCUACACAUGGGACCUACACAUCUGCGCAAAUCACCCUGAGAUCUUGACAUUGAAAUCUUCCAUAGAAGCAUAUCAAAAACAGGAUCUUGAAGAGUUCGAGAGAGCACUAAAGAGUAACUUGGAGCAUGAUACGUUUAUCAAUCGCUGCAUGGAAGAUUUGCUACAGAAGAUGAGAACACAAGCCAUACUGAACUUGCUGGAGUCGUGCACAACAAAGAAGAUUGGAAUUUCAUUCAUAUCUACCAAACUGGGCGUCACAGAGGAUGAAACGAUGGAGUUGUUGAGGUUGCUGAUACUCAACAGUGGAGUUCAUUGGCUCGUUGAUGAAGUGGAAGGUUACUUGGUGAGAGUUGAGUGAUUACAAAAGCGUGCUGGGUUAAUAAGAGUGCUAAAACUCUUUUGUUUCGUUCAUUAUCAGUUGUGGUCA